GACGCAGUGCAACCCUGAAUCAGCUGUUUGACCUACGGCAACCAAGAUUAAGGCUGGGUGGCAAGGCUUGGUUCAUCACGUUAAACGUAGCAUACUUUGAGGCUGAGCUUUCUGUUAGUCACUACAGGCGCCGUUACACAUAUCGAUGAAGUUUGAGUUUAUUUGAAGUUUGAAUUUUUAUGAAGUUUGCCACACUGCACGUUCUUCUUUGAAUAACCUUCGAGUGUUCACUGAAUCACUAAGUGGUUCGUGGAAUCCGCUUGAGUCGCGGCAAUUUUUCAAAGUUUGGCCCGGCAGCACUUGCCAAAAGGAGCACUUUCAACAGCAUCCCGAUCGGAGCCGCAGCCACUCUUCACCAAGGAUCGCAGCAGUUUCUCGCCAUUUUGUUCAACGGCCCGCGGCUCGAGGAGCACCCCACGGCCAGAAGUCCAAAGGCGACUGCCCCGGAGAGCACCCUCGACAGAAGAUCAA